UUUCACCUCCCUGAGAGAAUUGCCUUGUUUGUGAAAUACUACAGAAAAACCUGUAUUUUCUCCAGAAAAUGAAAGGUCUUGGCCUGAGUAAAUCAAGGCAGAAAACUCACCCCCGUGAAAGCUGCAGCUCUGAGAGUGUGUGGGCAGGGCUUCAACAGAAUACCUGUGGCUGCACUUACAAAAGGCAGCCAGAAGGACCCGUCCAUUCUGGAAAGUACCUUUAGUCUGAAAGGUACAAAUCAGAACUUUCACCACAUUCCAUCUGGCACUCACUGGUGGUGCCAACACCUCAAAAACCCUGCCGGGGCCAUUUGUCACCAUGUGGACACAGACAGACCACCAGUGAAAGUGGAAUUUUUGAAUGAGCUUGAAUGACCUGCCUAUAUGUGUAGACAGCCAUGGUCACUUUUUCUCCGUAGGAUUAGAUGUGCUGAUUCUAAUGUGGUUCACAUUAGGCUAUUUUCUUUUAAAAGUGAAAUUUCUUUUGGAAGCCUGGACAUUUCUAAGACGACUUCACAUCUAUUCACUCAUCUUGCCUUCCAAAACAGCUGCUCACAAUCUGAAUAUUAGACUACAAAUAGCAAAAACAAACCUCUGUUGUUAUUAUUACUAUAUUAUUAGGGUUUUUUUAGAAUCCCAAGGAAUUCUUUAUAUAAUGUAGAGUAAGCUAUUAGAAGGAAAUCAUUAUUUUCAAUGUGGUUCAUCCCAUGGAGGUAUGGAUGGAGAAUCCCUGCUCUUUCCUGGAAAUGGAUGCUGGUUCUUUAGAACAGUGAGUCUUCUUCAAACUGCAUAAAAUAAUCAUUAUGACAUAAUCAGCAGCAGUGUGUUACACUCUUGUCAUUUUUCCCUAGUGCAUUUCCAGGUCUCUAUCAGCAGAAUUGGAAUUACUUCAUCAUUUUCAGCAUUUCUUUUUCCUUUCCAGCAUUUAUUGCAGAAAAAAUAUGAGGCUUGCUGGUAGUAUUCCCAGGUGACAAAUGUGCACCCAACACCCUACAGAAAAGAAGAACCAUAAAAUAAUUAAUUAUUCCAUUGUAACUCCUGCCUGGAAAACAUCUGAAAGAAGUCACUAGAUUCAGCCCACAUUCAAGAUGAGAAAUACCAGAAGGCAGAGAACACUGAGGCUGUUUUAGAGGCUGUCAACCCCAGGGAGACAGACAGCAAAUAAGUAAGCAAAUAAAUAAAAAUGGAAGGUGAUAAUAAGUGCAAUGAAAAGAAAUGAAGCAGAGUAAAGAAUCAAGAGUAGCAGUUGAGGGGAUGCUUGGAUGUUUUCACACCACUCUGACACAUGGAUGGAAGGUUAGAAGACAACAAAGGAAUGGGCUGGGAAGGACUCCAAAAGCAGAAUCAGAGAUUAUAUCAUUCCUUGGAAAUGGAGAAAAGGAUCAAAAAAGCUGAAUAAAAGGCAAACAUGGAGGAACAGAGUUUGGAGCAAUACCCUGACUUACAUUCAGUACUGUUAAUGGCUCCAGCAUCUUGAAACAAACCAAUUUUGGAUUUUCAGUGAAAAAGAAAGCCAACCCAGAAAAUCACUUAGGAAGAUCCAGACAACAGAUGGUACGCCAAAAGUGAACAAUGAUCUCAGUAACUGAGGCCUCAGAGACAAGAUGAUCCAUUCCACAGCUGGAUAUUGUAAAACUUGGGUACCAGUGGUGCGCAGAUCUGACCAUUAAAACUAUGUACUUCUUGAGUCACAAACCAGUGUGUGUGACUGGUUAAAACCCAGUCACAACCUGGAAAAAGUUGUGGAAAGCACCUGGGGACUGAGGAGAAGCAAACUUCCUUAGGUUUACACAGUAUGGCUGGCACCUUAAGCAAGUUAAAAUCGGUCUCAAUUCCCUGCAGAAUAAGGGCAACACCAAUUAUGCUACCUACU
rnacentral:lncRNA from 1 species